UGCUCUCAUAAAAGCUGUUUAUUUUUCAUAAUAGGUGCAAUCAUUGGAUUGUUUUCUUGCCAAAGUUCCAUAGCUCUCAUGAGUUUGAUGCACGGAAGCUGCUGAUGGGAAUAAAUGUUUUACUACAGGCAGACCGGAGAUGUGUAGAGAGCUGUCAGGAGCAUUUGAAUCAGAUUCAAACAUCCUCCCAGUGGCAGAUGGCAGGAGAUGGCCUGAGCCGCAAGUGACAAGAGACCUGCAAAGGAGACAUGCUCUGUGCGUGUGUAUGUGAAAAUGAUUAGGUGGUGUGUUGCAUGAGUUCCAGAAUGCAAAGUAAAGAUGCUGUGUGUGUGAUUGCACUGGAAUGGCAUAUGAGCUCUGUGGUUUGGUCCCCCCGUCCUUCCAUCUCUGCCUCCGUCUCUGUGGUGGUGUCUCAGCCAGGGAAUGGAGCGCUGCAUGGUCCUAUAAACUGCAGAAUAACAACCCCCACAGGAACAGGAAUUACUGACGGCCCCAGCUGCUCAGACUACAGCCCACACACACAUGUACAGACAGAGUGUGGCUGUAGAGAAGCGCAUGACACAGGAGUAGUCCAAUAAAAUCUUUAAUUACAACUUAAAUUCAAUGGACAGGAGAACGAACAACCACAAACACAUCAACUCAAGUCAAUACAGGACGAAGGAACGCAGGAGAACACAGGGCUUAUGUAAACGGAAACCAAAGCGCUAAUUAAUCAGACACAGGUGAACAUAAUGACAUAAUCAGGCAACACAGGAAAACUAGGUCAAGGGAAAUCACACACGUAACGUGACAAUAUAAACAUACAUAAUUAAAUAGUAUAUACAAUUUAAGAUUAUUAUCUUAGGUUGGCAUGAAAUGGAACUUAACAAUAUCUAUCUUCUAAUUGUGUUUUAAUGAUCUGAUUGCAAACAUGCAUAUGUUUCAUUUUUUAAAUUAAAAUGUUGUAACUCUGUGUAUUCCAGUGAAACUUCUUUGUGGUGACAUAUGCAGUUCAUUGCAGUGUGCAGUUCAUCAACUUCAACAAACAUUUAGUCUGCUUAAACUCCACCCCUUUCUCACAUUUAGAUCUGCCUCCAUCCAGUCAAAAAUGAUUGAACCAAGUUCUUUCUCAACAUUUUUUUUAAUUUUUUUUUUUUUUUUUUUUUACAUACAAUCUGUUUCACUGAGAUGCAAAUUAUGUUCAAACACUUUUUGUGGCCACUGCAUAUUCUCCAGUGGUUUCAUUACCUACAGUUAAAUUUGACACAUCUUGCACUUAACAAGUGUACUUUCCUGUUGAUUCCGCCAUCGCCUUACCACAGGUGAAUUCACACACCAAACACUUAUCAGCAAAGGGACAGACAGACAGGGAAAGGUGUUUUCACACACAUGUUCUAUGACGCCUAUCCAAUUUGUGCAAUGUCAGAAAGUGAGAGAGAGAAAGCGAUCAGUGUGGGAUAAAAAAUGGCCUCAGCUUCUUAACUACAGGCUAUGAACCAUCUCAUUUCUCCUCUCCUGUUAUUAAACUAACUGUCAGUCUAUACGUUUGUGUGUGUUAGAGGUUUUUUCCUCAGUGGGAUGAAUAGACUCACUCAGCCCCUGGUAACCUGGCUGUAAAGUCUGGCCAAUUGUUUCGAGACAUAAUUCAUUUCCUCCUCCAUUAAUUUCCUCUGUGUUGUUUUUAAGAGUGUAUCCUGACAGUACAUACAGUACAUACAGCCUCGGGGUGAACACACACAGUGACGCACUCCCUUCCUACUCUGACCCCAUUCACACAUAGACAUCUCCACCUAUACAGACCUGCUGUUAUCGUAACCAUUAAUUUACAUGCUGUGUAGGAGGAAGAAGUGUGUGCAUGUGUGUUACAGAACAGAAUAGCUGUGUAUGUUUGAUGAAACAGACCUGUAAAACAAAGGUAUUAUUAAACUCCAGCAGAUGUGCAUCUCGAUCUCCCUCCUUCCCUCCUUCUCUCGUGUUUUCCAGCGUGAUAAAGCAGCAGGCAGUAACAGGUUGUUUUCUACCUGAAUUUGUUUUUGUUUCAGAUGUUGACUCCAUAGAGAGAUCCAGGUGGCUCCAAUGCUAAUUAAACUCCUGGGCAUUCAGUAAGGUAAGAGCAGAUGCCAGCAACCGGUCUGUGAAAGCCAUCUUCAGUGGCUCCGAUAGAGAGGAAGGUGAUUUAUCGUACACAUUGCGCGCAGAUGUGGUUUUCCAUUAAAGAAGUAGUACAGUAUGAACAUGUGGAAAUGUGGAGAUCUUGGUCAUGCUGGACGUUUCCUGAAGCAGUAGGACUGAUACAUGUUUGCUAGGGUUUCUAGCUUAUGUCUUGCUGGUAAGAGGCCAUAGCCAACUGAUUUGCUUUCCAUUAGCAUGGUUAUUCAUCUCAAUGGCAGUUGCUCAGCUAGCACAUGCAGCACCAGAAGUAUCAACCUGGGUGCUGCAAAUUUUGCUUCAUAAUCUUAUGUUUUUUUGACCCUGAACUGUAAAGGCCACAUGACUGAUCACUUUGAAACCACUGGAAAACAACAUAAGUCAUAAUAUUGGUGUAGUUACAUGCAGGGAUAAUUAACCAAAGCUGUAGAAGAGAGAGGUGCUAUUACUUUUCUAAGUGAUCAGACUUGUGGUUUUUACAUGGUUGAUAGUUAAAUGGAUGAAAAAUCCCAUAGACUUAUAGUUACGGAGGGACAGAGCCAACAUUUUUUUAACUUAAGCAGAGCUAGUGCAUUAAAUCAUUAACCAGAUGAGCGAUCUAUCAAUACUCACUUUAAACUUGGUUCAAAGAUGCCCAUUGUCCAUUUGCCAUUGAUAGCCCACAAUACAGUGUGAUCAUCACACCGUGUGUUUGCUGGUACAAUCUAUGUUUACCGACUAACCAAUAAAAAUCCCAAAUUAAAUCAACGCAACAUGGCGCUAAAACAUAAAACUGCAUCCACACAUAAAAACUACAACUGCUAAAGUGUGAUUUAUCAUGCUUUUUGUUUACCACUAUAGCGCAUGCUGAUGAUGUUGUAUUCUUUUAUAGUAACACACAUAUGAAAUCAAUAGGUGUCAUCAUCAUACAAGCUACACACGUCAUAGCCAAGAUUAUUACAUGCAAUGAUCUUAUUCACCUUUUUCUUGCCAUAUAAAUGGGCGUGACCAUUUGUAAAUUCUAUGGGUCCAGCUUCCGGCCUCAUCCACAUCCAGCUAUUUUUAGCUGUACAAAACCGUUUGUUUUGCUGCUUGAUAUUGAAAAUUUGUGUGUCUAACCAUAUUAUUUUAAUGUGUUAUCUUAAUUAUGAACACACUGGUUUGUAGUGCAAACAAUUUUACCAUUUACUGCAUGUUGUUAUUCUUCUUGUUAUUUACCGAUAGCAGCUAAUGAACCAGAAGUCUCGUCCAUAGGCUUACUUCCGCGUUGAAGAAAAAGGUGGAUAGGAU
ensembl:lncRNA